UACGGGGGGGGCGAGCGUUGUUCGGAAUUACUGGGCGUAAAGGGCGCGUAGGCGGCCUGCUAAGUCACGCGUGAAAUCCCUCGGCUCAACCGGGGAACUGCGUGUGAUACUGGCGGGCUUGAAUUCGGGAGAGGGAUGUGGAAUUCCAGGUGUAGCGGUGAAAUGCGUAGAUAUCUGGAGGAACACCGGUGGCGAAGGCGGCAUCCUGGACCGAGAUUGACGCUGAGGCGCGAAAGCUAGGGGAGCAAACGGG
rnacentral:rRNA from 1 species